UGGCUCAGAACGAACGCUGGCGGCAGGCCUAACACAUGCAAGUCGAGCGAGGACUUCGGUCCUAGCGGCGGACGGGUGAGUAACGCGUGGGAACGUGCCCUUCACUACGGAAUAGUCCCGGGAAACUGGGUUUAAUACCGUAUACGCCCUUCGGGGGAAAGAAUUUCGGUGAAGGAUCGGCCCGCGUCUGAUUAGGUAGUUGGUGGGGUAACGGCCUACCAAGCCUACGAUCAGUAGCUGGUUUGAGAGGAUGAUCAGCCACACUGGGACUGAGACACGGCCCAGACUCCUACGGGAGGCAGCAGUGGGGAAUCUUAGACAAUGGGGGCAACCCUGAUCUAGCCAUGCCGCGUGAGUGACGAAGGCCCUAGGGUCGUAAAGCUCUUUCACCAGGGAAGAUAAUGACGGUACCUGGAGAAGAAACCCCGGCUAACUCCGUGCCAGCAGCCGCGGUAAUACGGAGGGGGUUAGCGUUGUUCGGAAUUACUGGGCGUAAAGCGCGCGUAGGCGGACAGUUAAGUCAGGGGUGAAAUCCCGGGGCUCAACCCCGGAACUGCCCUUGAUACUGGCAGUCUCGAGUUCGAGAGAGGUGAGUGGAACUCCGAGUGUAGAGGUGAAAUUCGUAGAUAUUCGGAAGAACACCAGUGGCGAAGGCGGCUCACUGGCUCGAUACUGACGCUGAGGUGCGAAAGUGUGGGGAGCAAACAGGAUUAGAUACCCUGGUAGUCCACACCGUAAACGAUGAAUGCCAGACGUCGGGCAGCAUGCUGUUCGGUGUCACACCUAACGGAUUACGCAUUCCGCCUGGGGAGUACGGCC
rnacentral:rRNA from 1 species